CCUGAGUUUUGACAUGUACCAAGAAAUAUCUUCAGGUGUGGAGAUAAGGGACGGUUUAUCUAUUCCCUCUUUUCCUUUCAUUCUUUGGAAUGGAAUGACUCUUCUAAAGAACACGCUGUAGGAAGUCUGAAUAUAUCCAACCUCUUGCCUCAACCAGAAACGAAACUUACAAUGUGAAAGACGAUGACCACCCUUUAUAAAACAUCCUCAGCCCUUGUCCAGCCUUGCGUGGCAUGAGAUUGGAGAAGACCUUCAAGCAGUGUCACUCCUUCGAACAAAGAGUGGAGGUCCCACUUAUCUGACAGCAGCAUCCUACCAAAAUCCCAGUGACAAAAGAAUGACACAGGGGUGAAAAGCAGCUUCCUGUCCUGGAAAAACCAAGUAAUUUUGUACCUGAUCAGGUCAACAUGAGUAAACUCGUCAAGAUAAUUAGAAGGCCCUUAAAGCUCGAUAGUAAUAAAGCCCUCUUCCUAGUGGUGA